AGAGUUUGAUCAUGGCUCAGAACGAACGCUGGCGGCAUGCCUAACACAUGCAAGUCGAACGCUUUUGGGGUUUCGGCCUCAAAGGAGUGGCGCACGGGUGAGUAGCGCGUGGGAACCUGUCCUUUUGUGGGGGAUAACCGAGGGAAACUUCGGCUAAUACCGCAUGCGCCCCGGGAGACCGGGGGAAAGAUUUAUCGCAG
rnacentral:rRNA from 1 species